rnacentral:misc_RNA from 1 species
GAUGAAGAACGUAGCGAAAUGCGAUACGUAAUGUGAAUUGCAGAAUUCAGUGAAUCAUCGAGUCUUUGAACGCACAUUGCGCCCCCUGGCAUUCCGGGGGGCAUGCCUGUCCGAGCGUCAUUACAACCCUCAAGCUCAGCUUGGUGUUGGGCCCCGCCGCCCCGGCGGGCCCUAAAGUCAGUGGCGGUGCCGUCCGGCUCCGAGCGUAGUAAUUCUUCUCGCUCUGGAGGUCCGGUCGCGUGCUCGCCAGCAACCCCCAAUUUUUUUCAGGUUGACCUCGGAUCAGGUAGGGAUACCCGCUGAACUUAAGCAUAUCAAUAAGCGGAGGA